rnacentral:lncRNA from 1 species
GCAUAAUGAAUCUGAACUUAUGAUCUUCCACCAAAUAAACCAUAAAGCAUCAACUACAAGAUGUAAUUAACACUACUAGACACACCCCAGGUACCAAUCCGAGGUUUCGGUACAAGAUUGAGUGCAAGAGAUGAACUAGGGUUUUGAUAAGAGAUGGUGUUGGUGAAGAUGUUGGUGGAGAUUGGCCUCCUCAAGAUGAUAG